AUUGAACGCUGGCGGCAGGCCUAACACAUGCAAGUCGAACGGUAGCACAGAGGAGCUUGCUCCUUGGGUGACGAGUGGCGGACGGGUGAGUAAUGUCUGGGAAACUGCCUGAUGGAGGGGGAUAACUACUGGAAACGGUAGCUAAUACCGCAUAAUGUCGCAAGACCAAAGCGGGGGACCUUCGGGCCUCGCACCAUCGGAUGUGCCCAGAUGGGAUUAGCUUGUAGGUGAGGUAAUGGCUCACCUAGGCGACGAUCCCUAGCUGGUCUGAGAGGAUGAC
rnacentral:rRNA from 1 species